rnacentral:rRNA from 1 species
CAGCCGCCGCGGUAAUACGUAGGUGGCAAGCCUUGUCCGGAAUUAUUGGGCGUAAAGCGCGCGCAGGUGGUUUAAUAAGUCUGAUGUGAAAGCCCACGGCUCAACCGUGGAGGGUCAUUGGAAACUGUUAAACUUGAGUGCAGGAGAGAAAAGUGGAAUUCCUAGUGUAGCGGUGAAAUGCGUAGAGAUUAGGAGGAACACCAGUGGCGAAGGCGGCUUUUUGGCCUGUAACUGACACUGAGGCGCGAAAGCGUGGGGAGCAAACAGGAUUAGAUACCCGCGUAGUCCCUGUCUCUUAUAA